GCACUUCAUUCCUGCACAGGCAGAAUCAUCUGGCUUCUGCAAAGCAGUCGCGCAGCGCUGUAGGGACAACCGGGGAGUCUCAACCUAAAUGACUCUCCCCUCGUUCCCCUGGAGGAGAAGAGAAGGGGCGACCUCACACAGGACCAGGGCCGGACGGGGCAGAAGGGAGGAAGAGUUCCCGUGCUGGCACAGAGGUGGCAGGGGGAGGCAGCAGUGCAGCUGGAGCCCAGGCCUGCUGUGAGAGGGCAGAGAGUGAGCCUGGGCUGUGCUCACAGGACAUUCCUCAAACUCAUUCCUAAAAGAGCUGCAAUUACACGGCGGCGUUUCCGAAAUGACCUGGCACAGUGCGCGGCGCCUCACAUAGGCCCAGGGCCGCGGCCAGCGCUGAGCAGACUGGUGACUAGAAGCAGCUCCCCGUCGGGCUGCACCCUCCCUCUGUCCCUCGCGGGGGCAUCUGCAGAAGGGCACUGAAUGCGCUCCCCACCCCAGGAAACCCAGCCCCUCCACUCUUCCAGGAAGGAGCGUCGUCAUGGCCACACAGGCAGGGAAUAACUGAUGCACAGAAUUCAGCCGGGCCGCACUCAGCACCGCGCUCUCCAGAUGCAAACGGACACACGCAAACCGGCCCCAGACUCGAGAAUUCGUCCGCAGAGAUGCAUCCACUACAACUCAAACAUCAUUCCACCUUAAAAACCCUGCUUAAUGACAUCAGCCCUGCUCUGCCGGUUUUGUGGCCUCUUUGACACAGGCCGAGAUCCUCCCUUCUCUGGCCUCCCCGCUGGCUGCCAGAUCUCACCAAGCCACAAGUUACAGACGCAGGGUGCAACUGAGGAACAUGAUCAGUGAAGGAAGAAAUAAGGAAGGGGGAGCUUUACGAGUCCAGCUAAAAACAAGAGGACAAACUAGCCAGACCCCUCGGAGAAGCAGGCUCCUCAUUUCACGAAAUCGGCCGUUUCCUUCAGCAGCUCCCCUGACCCCCGUUACAGUCUGUGACGAUGACGAGAGACACGCCUGCUGCCCUGCUCAGUGGGGAACACACCGGCCCCGCGUGCGUAUUUCGCUGUUUCUGACUUCACACAAAGAACUGUUGUUAUGUUUCCAUCACUUACACGCAGCAACCAGCAUUCAAUGUUGUGCUCUCAAAGUCUGUUUAAAGUUGGCUGCUUGCAAACUGGGCCAUAGUUUCUGACAAAAAUGAUGCUGGUAAGCUAACUCCCAGGCCGAGAAUGCCCAUGCUGUGGGCAAAAGAACAGUGCCCGCCCCUGGGUUGUCUGAGCAGAAGCUGGAUUGUGUGCCUGGAGCCCUGUCGCCCUCAGCCAGACCCGGGGUCGAGGCUGGGCCGGCUCUCCGGGAGCAUCAGGGAUCCGGUUGGAGAGAGGCUCAUACGGCGGUCCCAGGGGCCACCUCGAGGGGGUUGACCGGAGCUGGGUCUGGGAGCUGCAGCAGAGGGAAGGCGGCAUGAGGAGAGAGCCGCAGGUGGGGCGUGUGCACAAAGUGCAGGUGUGUGGAGGCCCUGUGGGUUUACAUUGCCCUGAGGCACCACUUCACGAUCAC
rnacentral:lncRNA from 1 species